rnacentral:tRNA from 1 species
GUGCCGGUGGUGUAAUGGCGUAGAGCAUUCCCGCCCGGUCAGAGGGAGGUGCGGGUUCGAGUCCCGCCUGGCGCU